AGGAAGAACAACCCCAGUGGUGGCGGCCAGCUCUGGAGCCCUGGAUUCAGUCCCCACAGUAACUACAGAGCUCUCAAUCUGCAGGGUCUGGAGGCUCUGGGGCGGG
rnacentral:pre_miRNA from 1 species